GGUUAUGGCUCAGUAGUAGAGCGCAUGACUAGCAUGUAUGAGGCACUGGGUUCAAUUCUCAUAUAAAUA
rnacentral:tRNA from 1 species